AACUGAGACACGGUCCAGACUCCUACGGGAGGCAGCAGCGGGGAAUAUUGCACAAUGGGCGCAAGCCUGAUGCAGCCAUGCCGCGUGUAUGAAGAAGGCCUUCGGGUUGUAAAGUACUUUCAGCGGGGAGGAAGGGAGUAAAGUUAAUACCUUUGCUCAUUGACGUUACCCGCAGAAGAAGCACCGGCUAACUCCGUGCCAGCAGCCGCGGUAAUACGGAGGGUGCAAGCGUUAAUCGGAAUUACUGGGCGUAAAGCGCACGCAGGCGGUUUGUUAAGUCAGAUGUGAAAUCCCCGGGCUCAACCUGGGAACUGCAUCUGAUACUGGCAAGCUUGAGUCUCGUAGAGGGGGGUAGAAUUCCAGGUGUAGCGGUGAAAUGCGUAGAGAUCUGGAGGAAUACCGGUGGCGAAGGCGGCCCCCUGGACGAAGACUGACGCUCAGGUGCGAAAGCGUGGGGAGCAAACAGGAUUAGAUACCCUGGUAGUCCACGCCGUAAACGAUGUCGACUUGGAGGUUGUGCCCUUGAGGCGUGGCUUCCGGAGCUAACGCGUUAAGUCGACCGCCUGGGGAGUACGGCCGCAAGGUUAAAACUCAAAUGAAUUGACGGGGGCCCGCACAAGCGGUGGAGCAUGUGGUUUAAUUCGAUGCAACGCGAAGAACCUUACCUGGUCUUGACAUCCACGGAAGUUUUCAGAGAUGAGAAUGUGCCUUCGGGAACCGUGAGACAGGUGCUGCAUGGCUGUCGUCAGCUCGUGUUGUGAAAUGUUGGGUUAAGUCCCGCAACGAGCGCAACCCUUAUCCUUUGUUGCCAGCGGUCCGGCCGGGAACUCAAAGGAGACUGCCAGUGAUAAACUGGAGGAAGGUGGGGAUGACGUCAAGUCAUCAUGCCCCUUACGACCAGGGCUACACACGUGCUACAAUGGCGCAUACAAAGAGAAGCGACCUCGCGAGAGCAAGCGGACCUCAUAAAGUGCGUCGUAGUCCGGAUUGGAGUCUGCAACUCGACUCCAUGAAGUCGGAAUCGCUAGUAAUCGUGGAUCAGAAUGCCACGGUGAAUACGUUCCCGGGCCUUGUACACACCGCCCGUCACACCAUGGGAGUGGGUUGCAAAAAGAAGUAGGUAGCUUAACCUUCGGGAGGGCGCUUACCACUUUGUGAUUCAUGACUGGGGUGAAGUCGAAACAAGGUAACCGUAGGGGAACCUGCGGUUG
rnacentral:rRNA from 1 species